UGUUGUCGGAGGAGUUAGACCUUAAUCCACAACA
rnacentral:ncRNA from 1 species